UAUAAGUGGUUCGAAGCAAGCCAAAAAUUGAAUAUCUCAACGCUGCUAGAUUCCGACCAACAAUGUCUGACAUCCCACCAGGCUUGGAGUUGCAGGUAGAUCUUAUUUUCUACCUGAAGGGUGAACUUAAAACGGAGGAACUCGAGAGUUUCAAGGAUGAAAUUGGAUUUUUCAAAGCCAUCCAACCCUACUACUUAGAGAAAUGCAGGACCUUUGAAAAGGUUUGGCAAGAGCUCGAACAGAGACAACAUAUUAAACUUGGUGACUAUGAAUUUAUCAUCAAGUGUCUGCAAAGGAUGGGAAAAGUAAUGCAAAUUGAAGCAGUUGCAGUAUAUGAGGACAAAAUAAACAUAAU